rnacentral:rRNA from 1 species
CAAGUAUUCUCAACUGCGACAUGGAGCGGGAGUAGAUCCUCAAUGAUUUCCUUGCCAACUGUGCGUACAUUGGCUGAUGCACCAUGGCGUAAAAGCAGCUUGAUCAUGUCAACAGAGAACCUUUCAGCAGCUUGGUGGAGCGGGAAGUAUCCAUAUUUGUUUAUGCAGUUGGGAUUGGCGUGCAUCCCACGGAGCUCAGGUGCCUCGCCCUCCAAUACAAGUUGCGCACAUUGCAGGGCAUUGAAACUGACCAAGAAGGUUAAGGUUUGUGCGGUGAUGGAAAGAUCCCAUGACAUGGCCUUGCCCCCACCGUUCCUGAAUAAUCGGAGGAAGCGCCGGACAUUAUCCUUUGAAAAGAUGGGCUCCAAUUUGGCAUAUUUGUCGAAGAAGUCAUCACACACCCACUAG